rnacentral:rRNA from 1 species
UGUGUCCCCGCGCGUGACUUAAGCAUAUCAAUAAGCGGAGGAAAAGAAACCAACAGGGAUUGCCCUAGUAACGGCGAGUGAAGCGGCAACAGCUCAAAUUUGAAAUCUGGCUCUCGGGCCCGAGUUGUAAUUUGUAGAGGAUGCUUCUGGCGCGGUGCCUUCCGAGUUCCCUGGAACGGGACGCCUUAGAGGGUGAGAGCCCCGUACGGUCGGACACCAAGCCUAUGUGAAGCUCCUUCGACGAGUCGAGUAGUUUGGGAAUGCUGCUCUAAAUGGGAGGUAAAUUUCUUCUAAAGCUAAAUAUUGGCCAGAGACCGAUAGCGCACAAGUAGAGUGAUCGAAAGAUGAAAAGCACUUUGAAAAGAGGGUUAAACAGCACGUGAAAUUGUUGAAAGGGAAGCGUUUGCGACCAGACUUUUUCCCGGCGGAUCAUCCGGCGUUCUCGCCGGUGCACUUCGCCGGGUCAAGGCCAGCAUCGGUUUCCGGAGGGGGACAAAAGCUUUGGGAACGUGGCUCCUUCGGGAGUGUUAUAGCCCUUUGCAUAAUGCCCCUCUGGGGACCGAGGUUCGCGCAUCUGCAAGGAUGCUGGCGUAAUGGUCGUCAACGACCCGUCUUGAAACACGGACCAAGGAGUCGAACAUUUGUGCAAGUGUUAGGGUGUCAAACCCCUGCGCGUAAUGAAAGUGAACGGAGGUGAGAGCCCUUACGGGUGCAUCAUCGACCGAUCCUGAUGUUUUCGGAUGGAUUUGAGUAAGAGCAUAACUGUUCGGACCCGAAAGAUGGUGAACUAUGCGUGGGUAGGGUGAAGCCAGAGGAAACUCUGGUGGAGGCUCGCAGCGGUUCUGACGUGCAAAUCGAUCGUCAAACCUGCGCAUGGGGGCGAAAGACUUAUCGAACCAUUUAAACGGGC